rnacentral:rRNA from 1 species
AUUGAACGCUGGCGGCAGGCCUAACACAUGCAAGUCGAGCGGAUCGGCGGACGGGUGAGUAAUGCCUAUGACUCUGCCUCGUAGUGGGGGAUAACGUCCGGUAACGGGCGCUAAUACCACAUACUCUCACCUGCGCCUAGGCCGGAUUAGCUAGUUGGUGGGGUAAAGGCCUACCAAGGCGACGAUCCGUAACUGGUCUGAGAGGAUGAUCAGUCACACUGGAACUGAGACACGGUCCAGACUCCUACGGGAGGCAGCAGUGGGGAAUAUUGGACAAUGGGCGAAAGCCUGAUCCAGCCAUGCCGCGUGUGUGAAGAAGGUCUUCGGAUUGUAAAGCACUUUAAGUUGGGAGGCGUUACCAACAGAAUAAGCACCGGCUAACUCCGUGCCAGCAGCCGCGGUAAUUC